UAUUAGUAUAAGUUAAACUAGUUUAACACAGUAAUAAGUUGGAACUGUUAUGAAUGACAAAAUGUAACAACUUCUUUCCUUUUUGUAAAUGCCACCCUUUUGUAACAGUUUCUCUCUUGGUGUACCUGCUCCAUCUGUUAAGUUAUGAUGUUUUACAAUUCUCUACGUGGUAUAUUCGUUGCAUUAUUCACUCGUACCUUCUUGCAACGUACCAAGUAUUUUAUCAUAACGAUGCUAGAAAUUACAGCAAUAAUUUCACAUAGGACACAUAAAAUAAAUGAGUAGCCUAGUUUAGCCAAUCUUCCAAGUCCUGCAUGUACAUAGAAAA
rnacentral:lncRNA from 1 species